rnacentral:rRNA from 1 species
UGUGUGUGUUAGUGGAAGCGUCUGGAAAGGCGUGCGAUACAGGGUGACAGCCCCGUACACAAAAAUGCACAUGCUGUGAGCUCGAUGAGUAGGGCGGGACACGUGGUAUCCUGUCUGAAUAUGGGGGGACCAUCCUCCAAGGCUAAAUACUCCUGACUGACCGAUAGUGAACCAGUACCGUGAGGGAAAGGCGAAAAGAACCCCGGCGAGGGGAGUGAAAAAGAACCUGAAACCGUGUACGUACAAGCAGUGGGAGCACAGAGCAAUCUGUGUGACUGCGUACCUUUUGUAUAAUGGGUCAGCGACUUAUAUUCUGUAGCAAGGUUAACCGAAUAGGGGAGCCGAAGGGAAACCGAGUCUUAACUGGGCGUUAAGUUGCAGGGUAUAGACCCGAAACCCGGUGAUCUAGCCAUGGGCAGGUUGAAGGUUGGGUAACACUAACUGGAGGACCGAACCGACUAAUGUUGAAAAAUUAGCGGAUGACUUGUGGCUGGGGGUGAAAGGCCAAUCAAACCGGGAGAUAGCUGGUUCUCCCCGAAAGCUAUUUAGGUAGCGCCUCGUGAAUUCAUCUCCGGGGGUAGAGCACUGUUUCGGCAAGGGGGUCAUCCCGACUUACCAACCCGAUGCAAACUGCGAAUACCGGAGAAUGUUAUCACGGGAGACACACGGCGGGUGCUAACGUCCGUCGUGAAGAGGGAAACAACCCAGACCGCCAGCUAAGGUCCCAAAGUCAUGGUUAAGUGGGAAACGAUGUGGGAAGGCCCAGACAGCCAGGAUGUUGGCUUAGAAGCAGCCAUCAUUUAAAGAAAGCGUAAUAGCUCACUGGUCGAGUCGGCCUGCGCGGAAGAUGUAACGGGGCUAAACCAUGCACCGAAGCUGCGGCAGCGACGCUUAUGCGUUGUUGGGUAGGGGAGCGUUCUGUAAGCCUGCGAAGGUGUGCUGUGAGGCAUGCUGGAGGUAUCAGAAGUGCGAAUGCUGACAUAAGUAACGAUAAAGCGGGUGAAAAGCCCGCUCGCCGGAAGACCAAGGGUUCCUGUCCAACGUUAAUCGGGGCAGGGUGAGUCGACCCCUAAGGCGAGGCCGAAAGGCGUAGUCGAUGGGAAACAGGUUAAUAUUCCUGUACUUGGUGUUACUGCGAAGGGGGGACGGAGAAGGCUAUGUUGGCCGGGCGACGGUUGUCCCGGUUUAAGCGUGUAGGCUGGUUUUCCAGGCAAAUCCGGAAAAUCAAGGCUGAGGCGUGAUGACGAGGCACUACGGUGCUGAAGCAACAAAUGCCCUGCUUCCAGGAAAAGCCUCUAAGCAUCAGGUAACAUCAAAUCGUACCCCAAACCGACACAGGUGGUCAGGUAGAGAAUACCAAGGCGCUUGAGAGAACUCGGGUGAAGGAACUAGGCAAAAUGGUGCCGUAACUUCGGGAGAAGGCACGCUGAUAUGUAGGUGAAGUCCCUCGCGGAUGGAGCUGAAAUCAGUCGAAGAUACCAGCUGGCUGCAACUGUUUAUUAAAAACACAGCACUGUGCAAACACGAAAGUGGACGUAUACGGUGUGACGCCUGCCCGGUGC